rnacentral:rRNA from 1 species
UUAGCCUACGGGAGGCAGCAGUGAGGAAUAUUGGUCAAUGGGCGCGAGCCUGAACCAGCCAAGUCGCGUGAGGGAUGACGGUCCUACGGAUUGUAAACCUCUUUUGCCGGGGAGCAAGCGUGCGUUCGUGAACGCACGUCGAGAGUACCCGGAGAAAAAGCAUCGGCUAACUCCGUGCCAGCAGCCGCGGUAAUACGGAGGAUGCGAGAGUUAUCAGGAUUUAUUGGGUUUAAUGGGUGCGUAGGCGGGAUGCCA